rnacentral:snRNA from 1 species
UUUGCUUCUUGGCCUUUUGACUAAGAUCAAAUGUAGUAUCUGUUCUUAUCCAUUAAAUAUAUGUUUUCUAAUGGAGGACAAUAUGUUAAAUGGAUGUGUGGAGCAGGGAGGUAGAAUAGGAGCCUGUUCUGUCCACUGCAUGCAUCAACCUGGUACUGCAGGUACU